GGCCUGAAGUUUCUCACUCAUUAACCUGGAGCAACAAAAUGGAAAGAAUUCUGAUGACAAAGUAGAGAACCUGUCCCUUUGCUGGCUCUGAGGAUGACUGACUGUUGUGUGGGUGAGGUCUGCAGACAGAAGCCAGCUCUGCUCUCUCCAUUGAGUCUCACUCUUGUCACCCAGGCUGGAGUAUAGUGGCGCAAUCUCGGCUCACUGCAACCUCCACCUCCCGAGUUGAAGCAAUUCUACUGCCUCAGCCUCCUGAGUAGCUGGGAUUACAGAUGCCCGCCACCACGCCCAGCUAAUUUUUGUACUUUUAGUAGAGACGGGGUUUCGCCAUAUUGGCCAGGCUGGUCUCGAACUCCUGAUCUCAGUUGAAAUGGAUUCUGACUCUCCAAAUCUUGGCCCAAAUACUGAGCUGAUCUUUCCUGCCCUAAUUCCAGUAGAAUGGCACCUGACACAAUACUUUUGUGGAAGAGUACAUCACAUGAGAAACUAGAGGAAAGCUUUACAACAUUCUAUCUGGAAUAGAAGGUGUGGGUUGCAAUCAUUGAGAAAUGAAAACUAUAGAGAUGAACUAGAGAGACAAUGGAAUACUGUCCUUUGGCUGAGUCCUGCUGAAACCUGGUGGUGACACACAGAAGCAGGGUGAAUAUUCAAGAAAUACUGUUAAAUCACAAACUACUCAGAUGCAAACACAAGAGUGCAUGCUGGAACUGGCUUAUGAAACACAAGCCAGCUGGCUGCCCUAGAAAAAGUCUGAGGAAAAAGCCUUCUUCAUCUAAUUCAUAAAUGGGAAAUUGAAUUUCCAGGCUUAGCUGGCUUAUUUUUAUCUUCUUUUGUUUGUUUGAACUAUGUAUUGCUGAAUAACUGUGACAACAUUGAAAAGAGGGUUCAUGAGUAAAGCAAGAGUUGAUCUUUCACAAA
rnacentral:lncRNA from 1 species